GAUGAAGAACGCAGCGAAAUGCGAUACGUAAUGUGAAUUGCAGAUCUCUCAGUGAACCAUCGAAUUUUUGAACGCACAUAGCGCCCGCCGGUCAUUCCGGCGGGCAUGCCUGUCCGAGCGUCGAUGACGCCGCUCGAGCCCCCGUGCUCGGUGUUGGGGCGCUAGGUCUCCCAGAGGCCUAGGCCCCCAAGUAGCAGUGCGCGGUCCGGCUGCGGGCCCCGGGUACAGUAACUUCACUGUUGAGAUGCCCUGGGAGCCGCUGGCUGGGUCCGCCGUAAAACCCCCGACAUAGGCCUUCCUGUCCGCCCCCGGCGGGGAGGGAGACCGCCUAAUGUUGACCUCGGAUCAGGUAGGACUACCCGCUGAACUUAAGCAUAUCAAUAAGCGGAGGA
rnacentral:misc_RNA from 1 species